AAGAACUUAAAUAUAUUGUUAGUUGUAUUUUUUGCCCUGGUGGCAAUGGUAUCAGCCCCCUAUCCUCUAAGGCAGUGGACGCCUCCAAGGAUGCCUCCACCACGCCCCCCACCCAUGGUACAUGUACAUAUUGGAGCUCGUGAUAAAUGGUGCCGACUUAAUCUGGGGCCUUUGUGGGGUGGACGAUGCUAGGAAAAAAACCGACGCACCCUCACAUUUGUAGACUUUAAUGAAAUGAUUAGCCGAAAAAUCAUUGAUAUUUUGAUUGGUUAUUACAAAAAAAAGAAUUAAGAAA
rnacentral:sRNA from 1 species